AUGAACAACAUAGUUAAGCAGCACUUCUCACAUAAGUGCUUAUGUGUAAACCAUUUGUACACAAAAGCUAAAAUAAAGUCAAACUGUUUUUGUAAACUAUCUUGAUUAACUUGUGAAAAUAAGCUGAAAACAACUUCUGGAUAUGUUAUAAGUUGUUUCCAUAAUCUCUUCCAAACAGUCUCAUAAAUGUUUAUACUAGUAGAUAAGCUCAAAAAAGUCAUUCCAAGGAAGGGAAAGGACCUUGUAUAUGAAAAUUUUAAGCAAUCCUAAGGCCCCGGCAAGGUGACAGUCAGUCCACUGAACCAAAAAGAGGAAGAAGUGUGCAGCUGGGCUGUAGGACAAUCUCAUUUGAAGGUAGGCACCAUCCUGAUCACUUGGACAAUCCGAAGCUCUGUGUAUUAGCAAAUUGAAUAUCAGCUUCAAGAGCUUUGAGAGAAUCCUUGAAAGACU
rnacentral:lncRNA from 1 species